AUUGAACGCUGGCGGUAUGCCUAACACAUGCAAGUCGAACGGCAACACAGUAACGGCUUGCGCUUACUGGUGGCGGGUGGAGUACGACUUCGGAAUACGUCUGAAUCUACUUGAUCGCUAGGGAUAACGGAAGGAAACAUACGCUAAUACCUCAUACUACCUACGGGUGAAAGCAGGGGAUCUUCCUACUUUGCCCGAUGAUGUCAGCCGAUGUCGGAUUAGGUAGUUGGCGGGAUAAAGGCCCACCAAGGCGACGAUCCGUAGCUGGUCUGAGAGGAUGAUCAGCCACACUGGAACUGAGACACGGUCCAGACUCCUACGGGAGGCAGCAGUGGGGAAUAUUGGACAAUGGGCGCAAGCCUGAUCCAGCCAUGCCGCGUGCAGGAAGAAGGCCCUCGGGUUGUAAAGUGCUUUUGUUGGGAAAGAAAAGCAGCAGGUUAAUACCCGGCUGUUCUGACGGUACCCAAAGAAUAAGCACCGGCUAACUUCGUG
rnacentral:rRNA from 1 species